UAUAGUGAAAACAAAUUGACAAACUUUCCCUAAUUUCUAUUUCAAUGAUAUGUGAUAUGUUUCCCCUUAUCUUUGGAAAUGACAAUGCAUGAUUAGUGGUCCAUGGACAAAGAAUGAAAGAGUGGGCACAUUUUUUUAAGCUUACUAUGGCAAUAAUGUCAAUAUAUCCUCUCAAACAAGCACCUGAUACAAGUCAUCCAUUGCUUCCAGUUCUGAGCACAGCUUGGGCAUUUGCUUCUGGAGAUAACAGUGGGACCAGCUCUGCCUGGAUGCUGUCCAUAGCUUCCAAGAUUCCCCUGGGCAGCAUUUUCAGUAGGAGGAGAUAAUCUGCAGGUUCCCAUUCACACACCUACGAUUAUGGAUGCUAGAAAGGUACUUAAUACAAUUAAAAACACAUUUUUGUUUAAAACAAUUUUUGAAUGAAGUAGGUGUAGACAUAUAUUUUCUUAAUAUGAUUAAGGAAUAAAAAAAGGGAGCCUUUGGUUAUCUACUUCAACAUAGAUGUUCAUGCUGAGAAUUUGCAAACUUGAACACUCUCAAUAUUCUGAUCAACUGCAAUCUUUAACACUCUCCUAGACCCAUCUAAUUGUGCAAGGGCCUGCUUAGGAACAUGUGCUCUCAGAGACAGGAAGGCUGCCAUUUACUAGCUGUGUGACCUCGGACGAGGUACUUCACCUCUUUAUUCCUCCAUUUCCUUAUCUACAAAGUGGGACUCAUAAUAGUAACUAUCCAAUAGAGUUAUUUUGAGGAUUAAAUGCAUUAAAACAUGUAAUGUGCUUGGAAAAAUACCUGGUAGGCAUAUAGUAAAUGCUAUACGAGUGUUUGAUUAUUACUAUUGCUACUAUUUACAUUAUAGAUGAUAAACAAGUAUUGUUUAAACAGUCCAUUGCUUUGAAAUAUUUACAGGUAUAAAGAAGAAAACACU
rnacentral:lncRNA from 1 species